CCUACGGGGGGCUGCAGUGGGGAAUAUUGCACAAUGGGGGAAACCCUGAUGCAGCGACGCCGCGUGAGUGAAGAAGUAUUUCGGUAUGUAAAGCUCCAUCAGCAGGGAAGAAAUAAAGUCCUUCGGACUUUGGACGGUACCUGACUAAGAAGCCCCGGCUAACUACGUGCCAGCAGCCGCGGUAAUACGUAGGGGGCAAGCGUUAUCCGGAUUUACUGAGUGUAAAGGGAGCGUAGACGGCAGCGCAAGUCUGGAGUGAAAUCCCAUGGCUUAACCAUGGAACUGCUUUGGAAACUGUGCAGCUGGAGUGCAGGAGAGGUAAGCGGAAUUCCUAGUGUAGCGGUGAAAUGCGUAGAUAUUAGGAGGAACACCAGUGGCGAAGGCGGCUUACUGGACUGUAACUGACGUUGAGGCUCGAAAGCGUGGGGAGCAAACAGGAUUAGAUACCCGGGUAGUC
rnacentral:rRNA from 1 species